rnacentral:misc_RNA from 1 species
UUUACUUCAGACGGCCUGGGCAGAUC